ACAAUCUUUUUUUUUUAUUUUUAAUGUUAGAGAGGGUGAGGUUGUGCAGACGCUACUCUCUCUCUUCUAAGGCUUAAUUCUUAUAUCCUUUUUUGGAUCUGCAUUUUCUCUUAAAAUCACUGUUUUAGUUUAGAGUCAGGAUGAUGAUGAGUACAGAGCUUUUGGAAAUUCUGCCUCGUGAACUCAAGAUUACUUGUGUCGAAUUUUAACUUUGCGCAGUUAUGCUGGCAAAGUUGUUUGGUAAGUAUAAAAAUCUGUUGUAAUUUGCAAUGUGAUGGACUCUCUUUUUAUCUCUGUAGUUGAGGUGAAGAGAGAAAGCUCGUGCUCAAUUCAGCUGGGCAAUAAGUCUGAUCAGUAUGUUGCUUUCAAGGUGAAGACUACACAUCCCCGAAAAAGUAUUGUGUGCGGCCUAACACGGGUGUUGUUAAACCAAAGUCAACUUGUGAUUUCACAGUUACUAUGCAAGCUCAGAAGUUCUUGGUUCAAAGUACAGUUGUUCCCCCUGGGACAACUGAAGAGGACAUUACAUCUAACAUGUUUGGCAGUUUUCUAAGGAGGGUGGGAAAUACAGUGAAGAGAAGAAGCUAAAGGUGGUUCUCAUUAGCCCACCCCAUUCAUCAUUUUUACUUCCAAGCAGCGGAGAGCUGAAGAAAGAUCCUUGUUAUGACACUUCAUUGCUCAGAGAUCUAGGAAAGGAUGAAAUUGAAAACAUUCCUCAACCUCAUGAGGUAAGAGGUAUUUUAUAUUGUUGUUAAAUGUAGUCUCGACGAAGCCUUGCUUCUUGUCCUACCUCUGUCUCUCUCCCCGCUACGUUUAGAGUUUACCCGAUGCAUCAUCAACUUUUAUAGGAACAUUCUUGUGUGUGUUUUCUAUACACCUUUAUACAUGUUUCAGCAUUUUGUUAUACUUGCCAAGUGACUAUUUUCAUAACUAGAUCCGUAGGAUUUUUUAGCUCUGUUUCUAUAGGUGAAAGGGGCAGGUGUUCGAUCUCCUCCGCUGAUCUUAUGCAGUCUUGUUUGACAAAUGUAAAUGAAAAGUGUAUAAGUUAGCUGAAGAUGUUCCAGUCUUCAAAACUGCCAUGGAUGCUAAUGAGUUAGGAGGAGCCAAGGAUGCUGAUGGUUCAAUACCUGCUGAUAUGGGGGAAUUGAAAUCUUCUAAGGAUACAGCUGAACCAAAGUUGACGAAGGAUUUUGAGGAGUUGAAGUCAAAGCUACAUGCAAUGGACUUAAAGCUAAGAGAGGCUGAUCAUACCAUUUGAAGCUCACUGAUGAGAGGAGGAUGGCCACUAAAGAGAAGGAUAAGCUCAAGCAUGAAGCAUUAAGUAAUUUAUUUCACAGGAUCUUUUUUUAAAAAAAAAAUAUUAAGGCUAAUAACUCUGAUUAAAACCUUGAAAGUUAGUUUUCUGCCAUUACUGCCUGUUGGUCUGCAAAGAGGAUAGGUAAUAGGAUUAGACAACUGGCAAGAGAUGGAUGUAAAAGAAAUUAUUUGUUUUUCAUAGUUGUAAAUAUAUUAAAAUAGUGAACAA